AGAGUUUGAUCAUGGCUCAGAACGAACGCUGGCGGCGUGCCUAACACAUGCAAGUCGCGCGAGAAAAGGGGGGCAACCCCCUGAGUAAAGCGGCGCACGGGUGAGUAACACGUAGGUAAUCUACCCUCGAGUCCAGGAUAACCCGCCGAAAGGUGGGCUAAUACCGGAUAUGACCACGGGAGUCUCGGCUCCUGCGGUGAAAGGUGGCCUCUGCUUGCAAGCUACCGCUCGGAGAUGAGCCUGCGGGCCAUUAGCUAGUUGGUGAGGUAACGGCUCACCAAGGCGAUGAUGGCUAGCUGGUCUGAGAGGAUGGCCAGCCACACUGGGACUGAAACACGGCCCAGACUCCUACGGGAGGCAGCAGUGGGGGAUAUUGCGCAAUGGGCGAAAGCCUGACGCAGCGACGCCGCGUGGGUGAUGAAGGCCUUCGGGUCGUAAAGCCCUGUCGAGGGGAACGAAACGGUCUCGACCCAAUACGUCGAGGCCCUGACGGUACCCCUAAAGGAAGCACCGGCUAACUCCGUGCCAGCAGCCGCGGUAAUACGGAGGGUGCAAGCGUUGUUCGGAAUCACUGGGCGUAAAGGGCGUGUAGGCGGUCCGCUAAGUCUGAUGUGAAAGCCCGGGGCUCACCCCCGGAAGGGCAUUGGAAACUGGCGGACUCGAGUCCCGGAGAGGAAGGUGGAAUUCCUGGUGUAGCGGUGAAAUGCGUAGAUAUCAGGAGGAAUACCGGUGGCGAAGGCGGCCUUCUGGACGGUGACUGACGCUGAGACGCGAAAGCGUGGGGAGCAAACAGGAUUAGAUACCCCCGUAGUCC
rnacentral:rRNA from 1 species